AUUGAACGCUGGCGGCAGGCCUAACACAUGCAAGUCGAGCGGAUGAAGGGAGCUUGCUCCUGGAUUCAGCGGCGGACGGGUGAGUAAUGCCUAGGAAUCUGCCUGGUAGUGGGGGAUAACGUCCGGAAACGGGCGCUAAUACCGCAUACGUCCUGAGGGAGAAAGUGGGGGAUCUUCGGACCUCACGCUAUCAGAUGAGCCUAGGUCGGAUUAGCUAGUUGGUGGGGUAAAGGCCUAACAAGGCGACGAUCCGUAACUGGUCUGAGAGGAUGAUCAGUCACACUGGAACUGAGACACGGUCCAGACUCCUACGGGAGGCAGCAGUGGGGAAUAUUGGACAAUGGGCGAAAGCCUGAUCCAGCCAUGCCGCGUGUGUGAAGAAGGUCUUCGGAUUGUAAAGCACUUUAAGUUGGGAGGAAGGGCAGUAAGUUAAUACCUUGCUGUUUUGACGUUACCAACAGAAUAAGCACCGGCUAACUUCGUG
rnacentral:rRNA from 1 species